UACGUAGGGGGCAAGCGUUGUCCGGAUUUAUUGGGCGUAAAGAGCGUGUAGGCGGCCAGGGAGGUCCGUUGUGAAAACUCGAGGCUCAACCUCGAGACGCCGAUGGAAACCCCCUGGCUAGAGUCCGGAAGAGGAGAAUGGAAUUCCUGGUGUAGCGGUGAAAUGCGCAGAUAUCAGGAAGGAACACCCGUGGCGUAAGGCGGUUCUCUAGGUA
rnacentral:rRNA from 1 species